rnacentral:rRNA from 1 species
UCAGGACGAACGCUGGCGGCGUGCUUCACACAUGCAAGUCGAACGGAAAGGCACCUUCGGGUGUACUCGAGUGGCGAACGGGUGAGUAACACGUGAGUAAUCUGCCUUUAGCUUUGGGAUAAGCCUCGGAAACGGGGUCUAAUACCGGAUAUGACUGCUGCUCGCAUGAGUGGUGGUGGAAAGUUUUUUCGGCUAAAGAUGGGCUCGCGGUCUAUCAGCUUGUUGGUGGGGUAAUGGCUCACCAAGGCUUUGACGGGUAGCCGGCCUGAGAGGGCGACCGGCCACACUGGGACUGAGAUACGGCCCAGACUCCUACGGGAGGCAGCAGUGGGGAAUAUUGCGCAAUGGGCGAAAGCCUGACGCAGCGACGCCGCGUGAGGGAUGACGGCCUUCGGGUUGCAAACCUCUUUCGGUAGGGACGAAGCGUAGGUGACGGUACCUGCAGAAGAAGCGCCGGCUAACUACGUGCCAGCCGCGGC